rnacentral:rRNA from 1 species
GACAGAGGGUGCAAACGUUGCUCGGAAUUACUGGGCGUAAAGCGCGUGUAGGCGGACCAGCAAGUCGGACGUGAAAUCCCUGAGCUCAACUCAGGAACUGCAUCCGAAACUGCUGGUCUGGAGUGGUGGAGAGGGAAGCAGAAUUCCUGGUGUAGAGGUGAAAUUCGUAGAUAUCGGGAGGAACACCUGUGGCGAAAGCGGCUCACUGGACCACAACUGACGCUGAGGCGCGAAAGCUAGGGGAGCAAACAGG